UACGAAGGGAGCUAGCGUUGUUCGGAAUCACUGGGCGUAAAGCGCACGUAGGCGGAUGUGUCAGUCAGGGGUGAAAUCCCGGAGCUCAACUUCGGAACUGCCUUUGAUACAGCACAUCUGGAGUCCGGAAGAGGUGGGUGGAAUUCCUAGUGUAGAGGUGAAAUUCGUAGAUAUUAGGAAGAACACCGGUGGCGAAGGCGGCUUCCUGGACCGACACUGACGCUGAGGCGCGAAAGCGUGGGUAGCAAACAGG
rnacentral:rRNA from 1 species